rnacentral:rRNA from 1 species
AUUAUUAGGAGUUAGCAGAGCUGGAAUUACCCAGUCUGCGGGUAAUUAAGCUGUCAUUAAUAUUGAUUAUAUUGAUAAUUUUAGAAUAAAAUCUCGAAAAUAAUCUGAAAUUAAAAAAUUAAUGACAGCUUAUUAUAUAUUUAAUUUCCUUUGCAAAAGAUAUCUAAAUUAUUUACAAUUUAUCAGCGGCACUUUCACAAAAGUAA